UAGGGGUUCUGAGAGGAAGGUCCCCCACAUUGGAACUGAGACACGGUCCAAACUCCUACGGGAGGCAGCAGUGAGGAAUAUUGGUCAAUGGACGUAAGUCUGAACCAGCCAAGUCGCGUGAGGGAAGACUGCCCUAUGGGUUGUAAACCUCUUUUAUAAGGGAAGAAUAAGUUCUACGUGUAGAAUGAUGCCUGUACCUUAUGAAUAAGCAUCGGCUAACUCCGUGCCAGCAGCCGCGGUAAUACGGAGGAUGCGAGCGUUAUCCGGAUUUAUUGGGUUUAAAGGGUGCGUAGGCGGUUUAUUAAGUUAGUGGUUAAAUAUUUGAGCUAAACUCAAUUGUGCCAUUAAUACUGGUAAACUGGAGUACAGACGAGGUAGGCGGAAUAAGUUAAGUAGCGGUGAAAUGCAUAGAUAUAACUUAGAACUCCGAUAGCGAAGGCAGCUUACCAGACUGUAACUGACGCUGAUGCACGAGAGCGUGGGUAGCGAACAGGAUUAGAUACCCUGGUAGUCCACGCCGUA
rnacentral:rRNA from 1 species